GCAGGUCAGCAUACUGCCGUGAAUACGUUCCCGGGCCUUGUACACACCGCCCGUCACACCAUGAGAGUUGGGAAUACCCGAAGCCUGUGAGCUAACUAUAUGAGGCAGCAGUCGAAGGUAGAAUCAAUGAUUGGGGUGAAGUCGUAACAAGGUACC
rnacentral:rRNA from 1 species